AGGGCACCACCAGGAGUGGAGCCUGCGGCUUAAUUUGACUCAACACGGGAAAACUCACCCGGCCCGGACACUGGAAGGAUUGACAGAUUGAGAGCUCUUUCUUGAUUCAGUGGGUGGUGGUGCAUGGCCGUUCUUAGUUGGUGGAGUGAUUUGUCUGGUUAAUUCCGAUAACGAACGAGACUCUAGCCUACUAAAUAGAUCGUCGGCUUACAAACGCCGGCGAGACUUCUUAGAGGGACAGGCGGUGAUUCAACCGCACGAAACAGAGCAAUAACAGGUCUGUGACGCCCUUAGAUGUCCGGGGCCGCACGCGCGCUACACUGGAGUGAUCAGCGUGCUUUUUCAACCUACUCUGUCAAGAGUGGGGAACCCAAUGAACCUUCUUCGUGAUUGGGAUAGGGGAUUGUAAUUAUUCCCCUUGAACGAGGAAUUCCCAGUAAGCGCGAGUCAUAAGCUCGCGUUGAUUACGUCCCUGCCCUUUGUACACACCGCCCGUCGCUACUACCGAUUGAAUGUUUU
rnacentral:rRNA from 1 species